GGCUUAUAAAGAAAGAUGGAGGGAACUGACCCUAUGAAAUCUUAACAACCUGCACUGUGCAAGGUGUUACAUUCAGCCUUGAAAAAGGAAAGAUGAGCA
rfam:Chryseobacterium formosense strain LMG 24722 contig02, whole genome shotgun sequence.